AGGCUUAACACAUGCAAGUCGAGCGCCCCGCAAGGGGAGCGGCAGACGGGUGAGUAACGCGUGGGAACGUACCCUUUUCUACGGAAUAACCAGGGAAACUUGGACUAAUACCGUAUGUGCCCUUCGGGGGAAAGAUUUAUCGGAAAAGGAUCGGCCCGCGUUGGAUUAGCUAGUUGGUGGGGUAAAGGCCUACCAAGGCGACGAUCCAUAGCUGGUCUGAGAGGAUGAUCAGCCACAUUGGGACUGAGACACGGCCCAAACUCCUACGGGAGGCAGCAGUGGGGAAUAUUGGACAAUGGGCGCAAGCCUGAUCCAGCCAUGCCGCGUGAGUGAUGAAGGCCCUAGGGUUGUAAAGCUCUUUCACCGGUGAAGAUAAUGACGGUAACCGGAGAAGAAGCCCCGGCUAACUUCGUGCCAGCAGCCGCGGUAAUACGAAGGGGGCUAGCGUUGUUCGGAUUUACUGGGCGUAAAGCGCACGUAGGCGGAUCGAUCAAGUCAGGGGUGAAAUCCCAGA
rnacentral:rRNA from 1 species